ACCGCGAGAGUAUCAUCCAGAGCUGGCAUCUUGAUGGAUACUCCUUCUGGGUAGUUGGGUAAGUACCUGCAGAACAAGCCAAGUUCAUUAGCUGCAAAUCAGUUUUAGUCAUCACAAUUUUCAUAUAUCUGCACAGCGUCAUCCAUUAGAAUCAUUUUUCUUAUGGUACUUGUGCUGCAGAAUGAAUGGAGGAGUGUGGACACCUGCAAGCAGGAACCAGUACAAUCUUAGAGAUGCAGUAUCGCGUUGCACCACUCAGGUGAGACAAUCAAACUCGAUUCAUUGAGACAUUGUUCGCCCAAGAAAAUCAAAGUACCAGUAUGGAACUAACCAAAAUUUAUGGUUGAUGUUACAGGUAUAUCCCAAGUCAUGGACUGCUGUGUACAUAGCACUAGACAAUGUGGGAAUGUGGAAUCUGAGAACAGAGUUCUGGGCAAGGCAAUACCUUGGACAACAAUUCUAUCUUAGAGUUUACUCCCCAGUGGGGUCGAUCAGGGACGAAUACCCGAUUCCAAAGAAUGCACUUCUCUGUGGUAGAGCUGCAGGAAGAAAAACAAGAUCCCUCUAAACAACAAUUACUACUUUAAAUGGCUCCAACUCGGGGCCAGAUUCUUUGUUAUACAACUCAUUUGUCAUUUAAAAUAAUUCUUUUUACACAUACUUCUAUGAAGUUAAAAUUUCUCUAUGUACUUGCAUAGUUAAAGUUCUUUUCUCUUUCCCCAGAAAAUGUCCAUGUGUGUACUGCUUUCUCCACCUUGAAUUUUGACAAUCUGCAGCCAGGGUUAUGAAUAAGUUGUGUCCUUAGAAGAAGAAGCAGUAUGUUUUCAAUGUUCCAUGGUGAAGGAUUGUUUAUAGACCAAGAAAAUGACCCACAAGGGACAAGGUGUACUUCUUGUUACAUGUUGUUUCAUCCGUCAAAGACCAGCUACUAUAUUCAACAAAAGAACAUCAAUUAAAUUCUUAAAAAAAAAAAAUCCAGAAAUGACUAAAGUAAACUAAGAUGGCAACAAGUUUCGCUGCACUGAACUUGUACACAGUUUUCUCCUUAUUUUAUCAUCACACAAAAUAUAGGACAAAAAACUUAAGACUGAAUUCCCUUUGAUAAUCAGAAUAAGCAAUUCAAUCUCACCAUUGUAAUGGUGUCUGUGCAUAUGAUCAAAUGUCUUCCAAGAAGACAACAUAUAUCUGGAUGGUUCCAAUCCUGCUAGUUUCCAUUCCUAAGAACUAUUUGCAGGGUAUAUCGUAUAUGCAGUCAACACACAAACUCUAAUCAUCCUAGUUCCUAACUAAUUAUAUUAUUGUCACAGAAGAAUUGGACAGAAUGGCAGUUAUGGAAUUGUUGACAUGGUCAACCAGGAACCGGCCUAAGAGAAUUUCUAGAGCAAUCCGCCUCCAAGGCAUAGUUUUGCUGGCAAACAACCACCUUAGCAGGCAUUUGUUUGUACUUUGUGAAGCUUCUUUUAUAUAAAUGUCUUAGGUAUUCAAAGAAAACAUGGUGAAAGAGACACAGAGAUAGACAGGAGCUUCUCAGUUUAUUCCUCAUGGCAAAGAGAUGGGUUUCUUCAUUUCUUUUCCUAAGCAUUUUCCUAGCCAUGGUUGUCUCUCACUCAGCAGAUGGACCGCUUCCUGCUCUUUUCAUACUAGGGGACUCAACAGCUGAUGUUGGAACCAACACUCUCUUGCCUCAGAGCGUAGUGAGGGCUGACUUACCUUUCAAUGGCAUUGAUUUUCCACACUCAAGACCAACUGGGAGGUUCAGCAAUGGCUUCAAUACUGCUGAUUUUCUUGGUUAGUAGUGCAUGUACCCUGUGUUUUAAGCAGGUUUUCCAAUCUUUCAUCCAUAUGCCUAUCAUCAAACUAUGUUCAUAUACCAGUGGUAUUAUUGCAGUAACCUUUGUUUUUGUGAUACUUCCUUUCAGCCAAGCAUAUAGGUUACCGAAGAAGUCCACCACCCUUUCUUUCUAUUCUAAGCCACUCAUCUUCUCUCAGUAAGAAGUUCCUCAGAGGGGUAAACUUUGCAUCAGGAGGAUCAGGAAUCCUCGACACAACAGGACAAACACUGGUAAGGCCUCUGUUUAGGCACUUCAUUGUUGACAUUCCUAACUAGAAAGGUGUUCCAUAUGAUGAUAAGAAAUGCUUUUCUUUCGUUUUCUAUGAAUGAGAGUUUGAUCUCUGACAAGCUCUUCUAAUUGUACAUUUCAUUUGGAACAACAAACGGCAGGGAAUCAUCACUUUGGGAGCGCAAAUCCAGCAGUUUGCCACAGUCCACAGUAAUCUUACAGCUGCAAUAGGUCCAGAAGAAACAGAGAAGUUUCUCUCCAAAUCUUUGUUUGUCAUCAGCACUGGAAGCAAUGAUAUUAUUAACUAUUUCCAAUCUAAUAAUCGUACUUUACCCAAGGAAGAGUUCAUACAAAAUCUAGGAUAUGCGUAUGAGAACCACUUAAGGGUAAGAUGUCUUCCUCUCUACUUAAAAGUUCAGGAUAGAAGCCUAUAGGCAUACAACUUCAACAGAAUGUUUGAAGUUAUGAAAUGAAACAUGAUCCAGGGCUAACAUAGAAUCCAGUGAUGAACUCGUAUGUUUGAUAUGGCAGACUUUGUUCGAUCUUGGGGCAAGGAAGUUUGGAAUUUUAAGUGUCCCACCAAUUGGGUGCUGUCCAUCUCUAAGAACUUUGGAUCCCUCUUAUGGUUGUCUGGAAGAAAUGAAUGAAUAUGCUACAUUUUUCUAUACAACGAUCCAAGCCCUAAUGCAAAGGCUCAGCUCAGAAUAUCAAGGAAUGAAGUACUCGCUUGGAAAUGCAUAUGACAUGGCAAUGUAUGUUGUCAACAACCCCGUUGCAUUCAGUAAGUAAUUCAGCCUCUAAAUGGUAUAACUCACAAUUAUACAUUUCAGAGAAAGCAUACCCUUGUUCAACAGACUAGUUUCCUCAUCCCUUGCUCCUGAGUCAAUUAAAGGAUUGAAUCCUGCUAAUCUUGGACAUCCCACAGCUCCCAGACAAACACCUGCAACUUGAUUUAAUGAAGAUUUGUAAGUAUGAAAUAAAGAGUAGAAUCUAAUUUCAAGUUUCCUCCAAAUUCUCAGAUUUUACAGAUGUGAAAAGCGCUUGUUGUGGAGGUGGGAAGUUAAAUGCACAGUCUCCUUGUGUACCA
rnacentral:lncRNA from 1 species